CCUACGGGCGGCAGCAGUGGGGAAUAUUGGACAAUGGGCGAAAGCCUGAUCCAGCCAUGCCGCGUGUGUGAAGAAGGCCUUCGGGUUGUAAAGCACUUUCAGUGGGGAAGAAAGCCUUGGGGCUAAUACCCACGAGGAAGGACAUCACCCACAGAAGAAGCACCGGCUAACUCCGUGCCAGCAGCCGCGGUAAUACGGAGGGUGCGAGCGUUAAUCGGAAUUACUGGGCGUAAAGCGCGCGUAGGCGGUCUGAUAAGCCGGUUGUGAAAGCCCCGGGCUCAACCUGGGAACGGCAUCCGGAACUGUCAGGCUAGAGUGCAGGAGAGGAAGGUAGAAUUCCCGGUGUAGCGGUGAAAUGCGUAGAGAUCGGGAGGAAUACCAGUGGCGAAGGCGGCCCUCUGGACUGACACUGACGCUCAGGUGCGAAAGCGUGGGUAGCAAACAGGAUUAGAUACCCUUGUAGUC
rnacentral:rRNA from 1 species